UUCUCUUUUUUUUUAAAAAAAAGUAGUCUUCCAUUUGUACUAUCUUCCUGCAUUUACGAGCAAUAAUGUAACAAUGGGAAUAUUGAAGACAUCCAAAAGGCAGAACACAGAGCUAUUGAGCUGUCUGGUAUAUAAGAGAUUCUAUCAACUUCAAUGUCUACUUCUGCCGUCUUCUUCACUUUCACUUCAAAGGCUACCGGCACAGCCAGGCAAAUUUAACGUAAUUGUGAUGCACUUAACGGAUCCAGAAGAAGAAACUACAUUUCAACAAAGGCAAGGAGAAAUCUCUUCUGAACAAUUCUUUGAAAAAUGCAAUUCAUCUUAG
rnacentral:lncRNA from 11 species